rnacentral:lncRNA from 1 species
GUUGGGGGGCGUUAAUUGGGCGUUGGAGGUCGUUAAUUGGGUGUUGGCCAACGGUUGGCCACUGUUGGUCAUCGUUGGGCCACUACUGGUCAUUUUUGGGCCACUAUUGGCCAUUUUUGGGCCACUAUCGGUCAUUUUUGGGCCACUAUUGGCCAUUUUUGGGCAACUGUUGGCCAUCGGUUGAGCGUUGGUCAUCAUUGGGCUACUGGUGGCCAUCGUUGGGCUACUGGUGGCCAUUGGUUGAGCGUUGACCAUCGUUGGGCUACUAUUGGCCAUUUUUGGGCCACUAUUGGCCAUCAGUUGAGCGUUGGCCAUCAUUGGGCUACUGUUCGUCAUCAUUGGGCCACUGUUGGUCAUCGUUGGGCUACUGUUGGCCAUCAGUUGAGCGUUGACCAUCGUUGGGCCACAAUUGGCCACCGUUGGGCUACUAUUGGUCAUCGUUGGGCCACUAUUGGCCAUCGGUUGGGCGUUGGCCAUCAGUUGGACCUUGUUGGCCAUCGUUGGGCCACUGUUGGUCAUCGUUGGGCUACUAUUGACCAUCGUUGGGCCACUAUUGGCCAUCGCUGGGCCACUGAUAGUCAUCGUUGGGCUACUAUUGGUCAUCGUUGGGCCACUGUUGGCCAUUUUUGGGCCACUGUUGGCCAUCGGUUGAGUGUUGGCCAUCAUUGGGCUACUGUUGGUCAUUGUUGGGCUACUGUUGGCCAUCGGUUGAGCGUUGGCCAUCGUUGGGCUACUAUUGGCCAUUUUUGGGCCACUAUUGGCCAUCGGUUGAGCGUUGGCCACCAAUUGAACCUUGUUGACCACCGUUAGGCUACUGUUGGUCAUCGUUGGGCCACUGUUGGUCAUCGUUGGGCUACUAGUGGCCAUCAGUUGGGUGUCGGCCAUUAAUUG